UGGGGAGGAGGAUGCUGGUAGUCAGAGCUCAGGCACAUGGAGAUGGGGUCCCAGGCUCAGAUGCUUUUUCUCCUGUUGUUCUGGAUCCCAGAUGCCCGAGCGGCCGUUGUGCUGACCCAGUCUCCAGCCUCCCUGGCUGCGGCUCCAGGAGAGAGAGUCACCAUGUCCUGCAAGGCCAGUCAGGGUAUUAGCGAUUACCUACACUGGUACCAACAGAAACCGGGCCAGGCCCCUCGGCUCCUCAUUAGGUUUGCAAACAUACUGCAAUCUGGGGUCCCUGCCCGGUUCAGUGGCAGUGGCUCUGGGACCUAUUUCUCCCUCACAAUCAGCAACAUGGAGGCUGAGGACGCUGCAAUCUAUUACUGUCAGCAGAGUAAUACCUCUCCUCCCACAGUGAUACAUCCCCCAACAAAAACCUGCCCAGCAGCUGUGAAGUGGCAUCAGUGUUCCAGGGGCUUCUCCUUCCCCUCAGCUGGGAUGGGGACAGUGUGUCUGGGCUGCCUCCGGGGAGGUUUCUAGGUCUCAGAGGAAGAUGCUGGGGCUGUGACAAGUUCUGCCCUUGUUUUCCUUUUCCAGCCAAA